UAAUUGACUUUGUCCGUAAUAGGUAAAGAAAGAAAAAAAAUGUUGAUGUCUUGGUCUAGUUUAAAUUUAUUAACUCGCUGAAAUAAAUUAAAGAAAUGUUCGACAGAGCCUCACAUUUUAUCACUUUGUUAAACUUGUUAAAUGAAUGCAAUAUGAAGAGUCGCUCAUGUAAUAUCCACUAUUAAUUCAAUGGUCGGAUGUUUUUGUGUUUUCUAUACAGGAAGAAAAGCCGCAAAGGAGAAAAAAAUUGAAAGUUAUCAAGAGCUGGAUGUCAAAGCCCUCUGUAGUGGCGACUCUUAUGACGUCAUAACAGAUCAGCCUUCAGAGGAUCGCAGAACACAAACCCUAAGGAGUACACAGGAGGAUAAGUCCCGAGGAAAAAGCAACGUUUAUGAGGACAUUACCCCAGCAGUUGCCUUGGUAAAUACUGCUGAUACGAAGUCUCCUCCUGUUCUACCAAAGCGUAUGAAAGUGAAGCCAAACGUACAAGAAAUCCCGGCUGAAAUGCACAUUUACGAGAAUACAAUGCUGACGCCUAUUCCCAGAUCAUAAUAUCUAGAGCUCACGACAUUACAAAUACAUUCUUUGUUGAAGAAUCAUGUGUGUGCAUUUGUAUUAUAGGAGAUGUGUUGUGGAAACUACCCCAGUAAAUCUGCAGAACAUGAUUAAAACUGUUCAGUUUGAAUAUGGUUUAAGAUCUAAAAAGAAAUCAUCUCUUCUGUCAGUGCCCAGAACAAGAACUUGUUUAGCAGAUAGAUCAUUUGCGGUGAAAGGACAAAAAUGGUGGAAUGAGCUACCUGACAAACUUAGACAAAUUAAAGAGGAAGAUGAAUUAA